UACAGAGGGUGCAAGCGUUAAUCGGAAUUAUUGGGCGUAAAGCGGGCGUAGCCGGGUAUGUAAGUCGGGUGUGAAAGCCCCGGGCUCAACCUGGGAAUGCCAUUCGAGACUGCAUAGCUAGGGUGCGGAAGAGGGAAGCGGAAUUCCCGGUGUAGCGGUGAAAUGCGCAGAUAUCAGGAGGAACACCGAUGGCGAAGGCAGCUCACUGGGACGGUACUGACGCUGAGACGCGAAAGCGUGGGGAGCAAACAGG
rnacentral:rRNA from 1 species